CCUACGGGAGGCAGCAGUGGGGGAUAUUGCACAAUGGGGGAAACCCUGAUGCAGCGACGCCGCGUGUGGGAAGACGGUCCUCUGGAUUUUAAACCACUGUCCCCAGGGACGAAGAUGACGGUACCUGGGGAGGAAGCUCCGGCUAACUACGUGCCAGCAGCCGCGGUAAUAAGUAGGGAGCGAGCGUUGUCCGGAAUUACUGGGUGUAAAGGGAGCGUAGGCGGGACUGCAAGUUGGGUGUCAAAUCUACCGGCUCAACCGGUAGCCGCACUCAAAACUGCAGUUCUUGAGUGAAGUAGAGGCAGGCGGAAUUCCUAGUGUAGCGGUGAAAUGCGUAGAUAUUAGGAGGAACACCAGUGGCGAAGGCGGCCUGCUGGGCUUUUACUGACGCUGAGGCUCGAAAGUGUGGGGAGCAAACAGGAUUAGAUACCCGAGUAGUC
rnacentral:rRNA from 1 species